rnacentral:lncRNA from 1 species
CUCUUCCCAAUGUCGUCACGUCAGUUUUUUAUACGUGCAAGUAGGCAAAGGUGAGAGGAUCAUGUGGCCAUUUCUCUGCUAUAUAAGCGCUUGACACUUACUUGGCCACAACCACAGCAGAGACAGAUCAAAUAAACAUCCAGUAGAAGCAGAGCAAGAGCCGAGACUAGCUAGCAAAACCACCCUCCUGUUGAGGCGCCCUAUCUUGCUCAGGAUGGACAAGGUGAAGAACCAUGGCAGCAAGCACAAGGGAUCGGGAGGGCUGAGCAGGAUGCUGAGGCAACACAAGGCCAGGCUCUAUAUCAUCCGCCGAUGCGUCGUCAUGCUCCUCUGCUCUUGAUCCCAUUCUUCUUCUUUCUAGCUUAGGCUUGACAAAUUCUUUGGUGCGUGAGUACAUAACAUAGGGUAGUUUAGAAGGUCCCGAUGGAUGUUGCUGCAAGUUUUGGUGUGGUAUGGUGCUCCUAAGUCCUGCAAUGGCAAGGUUGUACAUGUACUCAUACGUCUGCUCUAUCAGCAGAAGUGAACGAUCUCAAGAGAAAAAGAGGUUACCCCUGGCAUUCCAUUUUAUCUAGGAUAUGUGGUUGAUGCUGCCUUUUUUGUAUUUCUCAUCAAAAGCGAUAUCCAGUUCCUGGUUUCGGUAAUGUCACUGGGCUGGGCACAAAUUGCAGCAAAAGUCAUGUUGCGCCCAUUCAAUGCGACUCCAUCGGCCUUGAUGACAUCCUGCAAGCCUUCCCAGCGGUCCGUACCUCCUUCCUGAUGCAAUAUCUUGGGUUCCGGCCGUCGGUUAGAAGAUUGAGGCACAUCCAUUUCCAAGACCUUGAGGAUAAAUCAGCUGGCAAGCUCGUGACCACUCCCGGUCGGGUUGUUCUUUUCAAGGCUGUGGUGACUGCCAUUGCGAUUUACCAUCUUAUGUCGCUGGACAUACCAGUUGAGGUUUUAAAAAGAUUGACAGCUUGAGGCGCGCAUACCUUUGGGCGGGCUGUGAUCAGAUGACUGGAGGCAAGUGCAAAGUUAACCGGGAGCUAGCUUGGAAGCCAAAAUCUUAUGGUGGGUUGUGUAUUCCAAGCCCACCACCCCCAAAGAGUUGGUCGGGUCUUGGAUCUCCUUGUGAUGAUAAUGACUGUGACAUCUUCGCAGUGACCAACAAAUUUACUAUUGGAGACGGAAACAAAGCUAAAUUUUGGGGUUCCCCUUGGCUUGAGGGUUUGCCCGAAAGACAUCGCCCACAAGAUUUUUGAACUCUCACACAAGAAGAGUUGCAUGGUUAGUAACUCGUUGGCUCGUCAAAUUGAUACCUGCCUUGGCAUUUCAGUGGAACACAUUAGGAGUUCGUUGCGCUUUGUGAAAUGCUUGAGCAUAUUCACCUUGCACAUGGAAUUCAGGACUCCAUUUCCUGGAAGUUCACUUUCAAUGGGGAAUACUCCACGACUUCGACAUACAAGGCACAAUUUCCUGGGUAAACUUCCAUGGCCUGGUCCCCAUGCUUUGGGGAGAUUGGGCUCCCCCAAAUGUAAGUUCUUUGCCUGACUUGUCAUCCAAGAUAUAGUUUGGACGGCUCACAGAUUGAUCCGUCGUGGUUGGCCAAAUUGUGGGUUGUGUCCUCUUUGCAAUCACACGAGGGUUCAUUGUUCACCUCAUCUGUCAUUACCGAUACACACACCGGGUAUAGACAGAUAUCACCAUUUGGCUUGGACUACAUCGCAUCUUGGAUUCAGAUUGGUGCCUCGCAACCUCGGUGAAGGAGGGGUGGAUCAAGAUGGCUAGCAUGAGGGACCAAAAUAGAAAUGACAUCUCCUCCUUGAUGAUGCUUGUGACGUGGGGAAUUUGGAAAGAGUGGAAUAUCAGCGUCUUCUAAAGCCUUAGCGCCUCGUCGAUGGUGAUUGUGAUGAAGAUUAAGUAGGAGGCCCAUCUUUGGGCUUCGUCAGCAGAAAUUGGCAAUGGCUCCUAGGUGCAUAUGCACCCAUUGUCUAAAUACACAUUUUAAAAAUCAAAAAAAUUCGGAACAAAAAUCGUGCGUGUAUAUCUGGACAUUCUAGGUGUGUGCACAAAGUUUUUGGUGAAAAAUGAGGUUUUUUGUGGCUUGUGUAAAAAAGACAAUUUCUGAUGCUUCAUUACAACUAUUCAUGUUGCUUUUCUUUAUCUUUUUUACACAAGCCACAAAAGUCAUCGUUUUUCACAAAAACUUUGUGCAUAUACAUAGAAUGUCCGGAUAUACUCGUGGGAUUUUUGUUCCGAAUUUUUUAAAUUUUCAAAAUGUGUAUUUAGAAAAUGGGUGCAUAUGCACCUAGGAGCCAAAACACCACGUCCCUUCGUCAGGGGCUACACACUUGAGUAUUGUAACGUCGGUGAGUAGGGAAAAUACGCAUGAGCUCCUAGGUGCUCCACACCCCUAUAUAAAUAUUAAUUACAAAAAAUACCAGGAUUAAAAAAGUGAAUUUGUGGAAUACAAACAUGGGUGCUCAAUUUACUCCAGUGUGAAGUUUCAUGGAAAAACACCUGAAAAUGUAUCAGUAGCAAAGAAGACUUACGAUCCUUCCAAACAGUUUUUUUCUAUGCAUAGGAAUUUUUUUGUCUUUUUAUCGAGAAUACGUUUUCUGGUAUAUUUCCAUGAAACUUCACACGGACAUAGAUUGAACACCCAGGUUUGAUAUCCCAAAAUCCUUUUUAAUUGUUUUUUAAUUUAAUACUCAUAUAGAGGUGUUGAGCACCCGAGUGUUCCAAAUCCCCUUCCGGGCGAGUAGUUGUUUUAUUAAUCUACUUGGCAUGUCUCUGUUAAACGUUCUUCCUUAAUCAAUGAAAAUGCCAAAUCUUUUGCCCUGCUUCAAUAAAGAAAUAUCUACGAUAUCGGCUGCUUUACCAAGGAAGUUUUCAGUAGUGUCACAUUUUUUUUGAAGUACUUGCUUGUGGACAAUGGAGUUUUUCCACUGGAGCUCAAAUGCACCCUCAUAAACAGUAAAAUAAAAACAAUGCGUAAAAAAACUAUUUUUUUCCAACAAACAGUGUUGAAUUUUCUGCCCAUGUGCAAAUUUUUGUGAUGAAAUAACAUUCAUGAAGGUUUGGGCAAAAUAACAAAAUUGAUGCUCUAAUGUUUUUGAAAGCAUUUUGAAGUGUUGAUUUGUUAUUUUUGUCCAGACCUCCAUGAAUGUGAUUUCAUCACGAAAAUUUUCAUGCAUGCAGGAAACUAAGCAAUGUUUGUUUAAAAAAUAGGUUUUUUAAUUAUUAUUUUUCUAUUUUUCCAGAUUUUACUGUUCAUAGCGAGAGCAUUUGAGGUUAUGAUUAGAAGAACACUUUUGGUUGCCUUCUAGUUAGUUGGAAACUAACCUCGUACCUACAAAUUUAAAUGGUUAAUCUCAUCAUGUGUCCAUUUUUCAGUCACAUCGCGUAUGAAAUCAAUCACAUAUAUGCAUAUCAGAAUUGUCAGAAUUGUAUGCUUACUCUUCUUAUUUUGAGAAGGGUUAACAGAAUUACAAUUUCGUUGGUCAUUAGAGCAUCUUCAAUAGCUGCCCUGUUUUAGGGCAGUAGGCGUUUGUAGGCAAACAAACAGCCUCCAACAGCUGUCUUAUAUCAUAAAAAAAUUGUAAUUUUUUGGGGCAGCCUUAAAAUGCAGCACCAAGUGUUGCAUAUAUACAACACUUGGAUGGCUGCCACAAAAUAGCGCGACUGCCCCAUGAUGCCAAACCGAAGCUGUUUCGCUCCCACGCGCGGCUGGACCUCCACCCUGCCGAAUGUCACCGCCGCCCGCCCCCGACUCCGCCCCGAACCCGCCCUCCACCUCGCCCCCUCGCACGGGUCGCCGCUCUGCUUCGCAUCUGCCGCACCUCCAAUUUCGACCGAUUUCUGCCAACCACCGGAGUGCCGCCGCCCGUAUGGCUGUCACAGCCCGGUCGUGUCCCUCCGAGGUUGACUAGCGGCCGCCGGUACACCGUUGCUUGCCGCCCAACCGGCCGCCACCGAGCGGAUCCACAACAAGCUUGGUGCGGUGUCGACGAUGCGUCAUCGGUGAUUUUAGGUUGCGUCAAACAAUAUGAUCAAUGAGAGCGAGCAUGGACAAGAUUUGAUUACAGUGUGUAUGACCUCAUGGGACGACCGGUGUGGCCAAGUCGGAAACAAGAAUGAUCCAUCGCUUUCUUGAGGUCUACGAUGAGGAGUGGUGGGCAUGGCAUGGGCGACAACAGACCUAGUUUUAUCUCUAUGGUUGUUGCAUUUGUGUGAUGAAUUCUGUUGUAUUGUGUGCUAAACUAUGUUGUUGAGCUUGAUGAACAAUUUAUAUUGUGGGUUUGAUGAUGGAGUAGGAUUUUCUACAAGUGCUUGUCACAGAACUAGUUAAGGGUUUCAACGGUGUAAAAGUUUUCAAAAAUUCUGAAAAAAAUACUGAACCAACACACCUAUAAUAUAACAUGAUCUCAAAUAGUUCAGUAUAUAUUUAUGUCGCAGUGAACUGAAAUGCUUAUUAUUUUUGCCGAUGACACAUAGUUGCAUAUUUUGACAAUCCCUCCGUUGGAUCAUCUUAUUACAUUAGAGAGAUGCUCCCAUAUUUGUUUCAUAUUUUUGUAUAACUUUUAAACCGUUAAAAGUUUAGCGACCCUUAACUAGUUCUGUGGCAAGCUAUGGUAGACAUAGUUUUACCGUUUGAUGACUAUGUAAUAAUUUGUAAUUUGUUUCAGAUUCAUUUGAAAUGCAUUUGGUAUUUUGUAUGUGUGCAAGAUGUAUAAAUAGAGAUGAAAAAUAUACAUGUGGAGUUUUAGUGCCCUAAAUUUUACUCCCAAGUCCAAAACAGACGGCCUAAAAUACAUAGAUGCAGCUCGUCACCCGGAAGAGUUGCACGGUGUAUUUCAGAUUUAAGGUCUUGUUUGUUUGAGCCGGAGCUUGACGGCAAGCAGCUGCAAUACACCACCAAAUGCAUAUAAGGGUCGGUUUGGUUGCAAAGUCUAUACCAUGAAAUAUAUAGUAAGCAUACAACAAAUCCGUAUUUGCCAUGUCAAUGCGCACCACAAUUUCUCCACAAAAAAGAAUCACAACUGUACCAUGUUAAAAUAUUUUCCUGGUCUCCUAGAGAAAUGAUCUCCUAUCGCUAGCAUGCCCAGGAUUGCAUCAUCAUUCAUGAUAGACACACAUAUAUCCUAGCUAGAACUAGCUAAGGAUAUCAGGUAGUUCGUUAGGGAGCAUCAGAAAGAAAUAUCUACUGCACUUCUCUGAAAACAAACACCGGAGCUGUCAGUCCAGCGAGCCAGAGGAGCAAGCGGCCAGCUGGGUUCAGGGAGAGACACGGUUGCCUCCUCGCGUUCCAUGAGGUCUCCCCGACCCCGAGGUCGUCGUCGUGCCGCCACCGACCAGUAAUAAGUAAAUAAAUUACCCAACGACGGCAAUGAUACGGUAGGUUUUGACAGCCUUUCCGUUGCUCGAAAGCGUAGCUUGCUUCAUCAGGGACAGAAACUGCGCAAGUGGCUGUUGAAUAUGGGUGUAUGAUCCCGAUCGGGCGGCAUCGAUCGGCAACACAUGAAUGAAAAAUUACCCUCGUCGGCGUCGCGGUUUUCUGAGAGGGGUUGGUUGUUUGGCAGUUCAGUUCAUCGUCAUCAGGAGAAAAGAAAGCAUAACUUUUUCUCAGAAGCUAGAAAAAGUAGACCACUGAUUGAAGACGUGAGCUCAUAAUUAUCUAAAUGGAAACCUGUUUAAUCACUACUGAUAGACGGGGCCGUGCUGGCUUUCCGCAUACAAAUGCCUUUUUUUUUGUUUAGGUUAUCUGAUUGCUUGCAGUUGCAGGGCCCCCACUAUUAUCAGAAGCUAAUCAUUCAAACAGAGUGUUCAUCAAUCAUCAUUUUCUCGGCCUGCAGAAUUUGCAUGUACGGACUCAUUUUCCAGCCAGGAAUUCUGCCGGAAACAUUAUCGUCAGGUCCGAGUCAUCAUCAGGCAUUAUAUAACGAUCCCUCCAAUUUGAGGACGGCGUGAGCAUAUUUUACUCCCAAGAUCCGACAGGCGCCUAGGCAGCUAGGCUGGCCACUCAUCACUCCCAUCCAUUUUUUAUCACGAAAAAGAACCCACUUCCAUCCAAAUUAGGCGUCCUGAUCGUGGAUGCAACCGACGGAUUCGGUGUCAACAGCGACCCUUUUUCGUUGUCUAACAGUCGAUUGUCCCCUGCAGCGUCAUCGGAAUCCGCUGCAACUUGCGAGAGACUGACGAUGCGGUAGCGGCAGCCUCCCACUUCUUACAAGGGGUAUAUGACCCCGUCCCUGUCCUCCCUGUCCCAUUAGGGUUUCUAUACGCGCAAGUGGGCAGAGAUGUGGGAGUGUGGUGGUCUCUCCCGUUUGGCUAUUUCCCAGCUAUAUAAGCGCUGCACACUUGCUUGACUUGACCAGAGAUCACAGAUCCAUCCUUCCAGUAGUGGCAGUCUAGCAGUGCAAGAAGAGAGAGCCUUCCUGCUCACCUAGCUCAAUCAGCCUCCUCCUGUUGUUCAGGAGCAACCGAGAAAGCAAGCUCAAGAUGGAGUACAAGGUGAAGAGCCAUGACAGCAAGCACAAGGGGUCAGGGUCAGGAGGGCUGAGCAGGAUGCUGAGGCAGCACAAGGCCAGGCUCUAUAUCAUCCGCCGAUGCGUCGUCAUGCUCCUCUGCUCUUGAUCCCAUUCUUCUUUCUAGCUUAGGCUUGACAAAUUCUUUGGUGCGUGAGUACAUAACAUAGGGUAGUUUACAAGGUCCCGAUGGAUGUUGCUGCAAGUUUUGGUGUGGUAUGGUGCUCCUAAGUCCUGCAAUGGCAAGGUUGUACAUGUACUCAUGUGUCAGGUGUUGGAAUGUUACUUUCUGUGUUUGCUCUAUCAGCAAAAGUGAAUGAUCUCAAGAAUAAAAAAGGGUUCCCCUCGCAUUCCAUUUUAUCUACA